CCUACGGGAGGCAGCAGUCGAGAAUCAUUCACAAUGGGGGAAACCCUGAUGGAGCGACGCCGCGUGGGGGAAUGAAGGUCUACGGAUUGUAAACCCCUGUCAUGUGGGGGCAAAUUAAAAAGAUAGUACCACAAGAGGAAGAGACGGCUAACACUGAGCCAGCAGCCGCGGUAAUACAGAGGUCUCAAGCGUUGUCCGGAAGCACUGGGCGUAAGGCGUGCGUAGGCAGUUUCGUAAGUCGUGUGUGAAAGGCGGGGGCUCAACCCGCGGACUGCACAUGAUACUGUGAGACUAGAGUAUUGGAGCGGGAGCCGGAAUUCUCGGUGUAGCAGUGAAAUGCGUAGAUAUCGAGAGGAACACUCGUGGCGAAGGCGGCUUCCUGGACAUUAACUGACGCUGAGGCACGAAAGCCAGGGGAGCGAAAAGGAUUAGAUACCCCAGUAGUC
rnacentral:rRNA from 1 species